rnacentral:rRNA from 1 species
AACGCGAAGAACCUUACCAGCCCUUGACAUGUCCCGUACGAGGCCGAGAGAUCGGCUUCAUCAGUUCGGCUGGCGGGAACACAGGUGCUGCAUGGCUGUCGUCAGCUCGUGUCGUGAGAUGUUGGGUUAAGUCCCGCAACGAGCGCAACCCUCACCUUCAGUUGCCAUCGGGUUAAGCCGGGCACUCUGAAGGAACUGCCGGUGACAAGCCGGAGGAAGGCGGGGAUGACGUCAAGUCCUCAUGGCCUUUAUGGGCUGGGCUACACACGUGCUACAAUGGCGGUGACAGAGGGAGGCAAAGGGGCGACCCCGCGCCAAUCUCGAAAAGCCGUCUCAGUUCGGAUUGUUCUCUGCAACUCGAGAGCAUGAAGCUGGAAUCGCUAGUAAUCGCGGAUCAGCACGCCGCGGUGAAUACGUUCCCGGGCCUUGUA